GUGGGGAAUAUUGGACAAUGGGCGAAAGCCUGAUCCAGCCAUGCCGCGUGUGUGAAGAAGGUCUUCGGAUUGUAAAGCACUUUAAGUUGGGAGGAAGGGCAGUAAGCGAAUACCUUGCUGUUUUGACGUUACCGACAGAAUAAGCACCGGCUAACUCUGUGCCAGCAGCCGCGGUAAUACAGAGGGUGCAAGCGUUAAUCGGAAUUACUGGGCGUAAAGCGCGCGUAGGUGGUUCGUUAAGUUGGAUGUGAAAUCCCCGGGCUCAACCUGGGAACUGCAUCCAAAACUGGCGAGCUAGAGUAGGGCAGAGGGUGGUGGAAUUUCCUGUGUAGCGGUGAAAUGCGUAGAUAUAGGAAGGAACACCAGUGGCGAAGGCGACCACCUGGGCUCAUACUGACACUGAGGUGCGAAAGCGUGGGGAGCAAACAGG
rnacentral:rRNA from 1 species